GCAAACUUGGUCAUUUAGAGGAAGUAAAAGUCGUAACAAGGUUUCCGUAGGUGAACCUGCGGAAGGAUCAUUAUUGAAUACGAUCGGUUACUGAUGCUGGCUCUUCACUGAGCAUGUGCUCGUACCGUCUAUUUAUCUUCUCUUGUGCACCUUUUGUAGUCUUUGAAAAAGUGAACCUACCCUCGCAGCAAUGCGGUUUGGGGGUUUGGCGGUGCCUAGCGCGCGGCCUGCUCCUGCCUUGCUUUUUUCAAGGACUAUGUUUUCAUAUACACUAUAAAGUUACAGAAUGUCUUUUAAAGAUUGUGCUAGUCGCAGUCAUUAAACCUAUACAACUUUCAGCAACGGAUCUCUUGGCUCUCCCAUCGAUGAAGAACGCAGC
rnacentral:misc_RNA from 1 species